CACAACUUUGCAGGAGUUUCAUUUUGUACAGUUAAGCAGAACUAAGGGGGAAUACUCUUUGUUUAGGCUAAGUCAAAACGUAACCGAACAAUUUAACCGGAUCGGAUGCAAGUGGACAUUUUUGAAGAAUACAUACCCUCAUCUUCAGUAUUACAUAUUUAACCAUAUGUAUGGACACCUGGAUACAACAUUCAGAUGGAGUGAGGAUUUAGGCCUGGAUUAUACCCUGGAAAGCAGGACAAGAAAUGGAGUUUAAUGCAGUUCCUUGAGGAACCUUUUUUUAUAUAUAACUUACCUUGGCUUGAAAAAUAAAUGCAACAUGGGGAACAGCAACUCUAGGCCAAAGAUUUGCCAAGUUGCACCAUCUCAUAGUCAACCAAUGGAGGAUAAGCCUUCACUGUUUCCAACCUCACCAUGGAUGAUUACUGCUGAUAAAGGUACAGAGAUGCAAGAGAAAAGGAUUGUGGGACAGAGGAAGAACAACCAUCUGCCUCCUUCAACAGGAAGGCACAAAAUACCUAAUUCUGUUCAUUUAGAACCAGGACAGGGAAUGAAGAGAUGGGCCUGUCCGCUGCUGUUCCACUCCCAGCCUGGGAGGGCACUGUGGCACCAUCAAAACACUACAGGGACACAUGAAAGGUCUCCUGCGGGCACAGAUGAUGCUCAGUCGCCAAGCAACCAAGAAGCGGCAAGCUCAGCAGAGGGUGCUUUAGGAAAAGUCGAGGGAAACAGAAGAGGGUGUACACCUCUUAUCUGGAAGGAGGACAGAGGGUUUGUCUUGUGUCCAGGCCAAUGCAACAAAACAUCUUCUGUGAUGAGUCUGAAGGACAGAUUCUGGAUGUAAGGGAGCUGUUGCAGCCAAGUCCACAGGUGACAGACCCAAACAUGGGAGAUACAAUGAGUGGCAAACCACUAAUGAAAAAUGGAAUUAAAAGACCAGAAAUGUAGAGGUCUGGGGAAGGAAUGUUGUCAUAAGAAUUCCCUGAAUUCUCCAAGGAGCAGAACAAAUCUGGACAAAGGUGUGACAGGAACUUUGCAAAGGAAUUGCAAUGCAAACAUGUUACUUUGGCAUAGUGAAAACGAGUAUAGACAUUACUCUGGUUCCUUCAUGAAAAUAGAUCUACAGGAAGAAUGGGAAAUUACCAAGAGGCCUUUACAGCCAGACUCCGAAAAGCACAGUUAGUCUGAGAUUACAUGAAGGAAUUUUUCAAUCUAAUUUGUAAUGCAUCUGUGGUAUGUUGUCUAUUACUCAGACAACAUUAACUCAUCCUUCGGUUUAUAAAUGAUAGGGAAAUGUGAUUACAGUCGUACACUUCUAGCAAGCAAGCAGGCCAUACCUGUUUAUAAUUCCUGUGGAGUCUGCAGAAUUCAAGUGCAAGUCAACAGUGCUUUACAGAUACACUUUGAUCGUUACAUUUCUAGCCAGGUGUAUAUUGGAGGAAUUUAAUCUGGAAUAGUUCUUUAACAGGAUUGAUAGUGUAACCAGGGCUGCUGAAGCAAAGGUUGCAAGUUCAAUCCCGAUUUUACAAAUUUGCUUGUCCUAUGAUGCUUGGGCCUAUUUGAGCAUCUCAGACUGCAGGGAAACACCUUGGAUGCACAGCCAGUCCAUCGCAAGUCUAACAAACACUCCCACAUGAGCGGCAGUUUAUUGAUUUCAAUUCACCUGUCUCACAUGUAUUUGGAUUGUAGAGGAAUCUGGAGCACCUGGAGGAAACCAACACCAAGAAAAAACUCGACACAGAAUGUCCUGCUGACUCAAGAGUCUCGAACUUGGGGACCUUCUAGUUGUGAGAAGGCAGUACAACAAUCCCAAGAACCAGAAUCUCAGAUGUUUAAGCCAUUAGAUCAUACUCCCCAUGCAACCAAAUUAUGUAACCCAUUUCCUCCCAUUAUUUUGUCCAAUAUAAAAAGGUGUUCCAUGUAAUGUUUACGAUGAUUUUCUAUCCUGUAGGCAUUGGUCUUUUUCAACUAGGCAAAAUGUUUGAGAUAAAGGAAUAUCCCACCCAAAAAUUUUAAUUUGUUUAAAAUUUACUCAGCCCAAACAAGAUUUCAAGUUUCUUUAUCAAAACAGUUCUAGAAAAAAAAUGUACAUCUCUUGCCCACCAAUGGAUCCUCAGCCUAAGUAAAUCUUAUGCAAUUUUUUAUUUUUGGGUGAACUAUCCAGACAGAUAUGUUAAAGUCAUUCCACAAUACUUUAUUCCCCCAGCCUAAAAACAGGAAUUUUUUUUUUUUAAUAAAACCAUCAGG
ensembl:lncRNA